AUGAACGCUAGCUACAGGCUUAACACAUGCAAGUCGAGGGGCAGCAUUUCAGUUUGCUUGCAAACUGGAGAUGGCGACCGGCGCACGGGUGAGUAACACGUAUCCAACCUGCCGAUAACUCGGGGAUAGCCUUUCGAAAGAAAGAUUAAUACCCGAUGGUAUAAUCAGACCGCAUGGUCUUGUUAUUAAAGAAUUUCGGUUAUCGAUGGGGAUGCGUUCCAUUAGGCAGUUGGUGAGGUAACGGCUCACCAAACCUUCGAUGGAUAGGGGUUCUGAGAGGAAGGUCCCCCACAUUGGAACUGAGACACGGUCCAAACUCCUACGGGAGGCAGCAGUGAGGAAUAUUGGUCAAUGGGCGCAGGCCUGAACCAGCCAAGUAGCGUGAAGGAUGACUGCCCUAUGGGUUGUAAACUUCUUUUAUAUGGGAAUAAAGUUUUCCACGUGUGGAAUUUUGUAUGUACCAUAUGAAUAAGGAUCGGCUAACUCCGUGCCAGCAGCCGCGGUAAUACGGAGGAUCCGAGCGUUAUCCGGAUUUAUUGGGUUUAAAGGGAGCGUAGGUGGACAGUUAAGUCAGUUGUGAAAGUUUGCGGCUCAACCGUAAAAUUGCAGUUGAUACUGGCUGUCUUGAGUACAGUAGAGGUGGGCGGAAUUCGUGGUGUAGCGGUGAAAUGCUUAGAUAUCACGAAGAACUCCGAUUGCGAAGGCAGCUCACUGGACUGCAACUGACACUGAUGCUCGAAAGUGUGGGUAUCAAACAGGAUUAGAUACCCUGGUAGUCCACACAGUAAACGAUGAAUACUCGCUGUUUGCGAUAUACAGUAAGCGGCCAAGCGAAAGCAUUAAGUAUUCCACCUGGGGAGUACGCCGGCAACGGUGAAACUCAAAGGAAUUGACGGGGGCCCGCACAAGCGGAGGAACAUGUGGUUUAAUUCGAUGAUACGCGAGGAACCUUACCCGGGCUUAAAUUGCAUUUGAAUAUAUUGGAAACAGUAUAGCCGUAAGGCAAAUGUGAAGGUGCUGCAUGGUUGUCGUCAGCUCGUGCCGUGAGGUGUCGGCUUAAGUGCCAUAACGAGCGCAACCCUUAUCUUUAGUUACUAACAGGUCAUGCUGAGGACUCUAGAGAGACUGCCGUCGUAAGAUGUGAGGAAGGUGGGGAUGACGUCAAAUCAGCACGGCCCUUACGUCCGGGGCUACACACGUGUUACAAUGGGGGGUACAGAAGGCAGCUACCUGGUGACAGGAUGCUAAUCCCAAAAGCCUCUCUCAGUUCGGAUCGAAGUCUGCAACCCAACUUCGUGAAGCUGGAUUCGCUAGUAAUCGCGCAUCAGCCAUGGCGCGGUGAAUACGUUCCCGGGCCUUGUACACACCGCCCGUCAAGCCAUGAAAGCCGGGGGUACCUGAAGUACGUAACCGCAAGGAGCGUCCUAGGGUAAAACUGGUAAUUGGGGCU
rnacentral:rRNA from 1 species